rnacentral:tRNA from 1 species
ACGUCGGUAGCUCAAUUUGGUAGAGCAGCGGAUUCCAAAUCCGCAGGUUGCGGGUUCGAGUCCCUCCCGACGUG